AACAACACAGAAUGGGGGGUACAGAGGCUUGGGGGAGCAGGGAUCCUCAAGACAGGGGGCUCGGGGAGCAGAGCCCCUUUCUAUUGAAGCUGCUUCCAUGGUUCCCCCCAUGAUGUAGUACUCUGAUUUUAUGACCUUUAUACCAGAUUUUGUACUUUGGGAUAAUCGAAGCACUGCAGCCAGAUAUGCAGCUUGCCAGGAUCUCUGCUGUACAGAGAGAAAAGUUGCUAACUGAUGGAGAUUAAUCAAGGACAGAGACCACUAGGAUUCACCCUCUUGCAUAUUCAAAGGUAAUUGUGCUUCAUUUAUUUUCUUAGUUCAGUACAUAGCCCCUGCAUUUUACAGAUAUUUUGGUGUAUGUGGAAGAAAACUAGCAUUUGGCUUUUAAAAAAAAAAAAAAAAGAAAAA